rnacentral:pre_miRNA from 1 species
GGGACAAAGGACAAACAUAAAUCUCCAAACACAGCUGGCUUCCUAGCUGUGUUUGGAGAUUUAUGUUUGUCCUUUGUCCCU